rnacentral:rRNA from 1 species
AGCGAACGCUGGCGGCAGGCUUAACACAUGCAAGUCGAGCGGGCACCUUUCGGGGUGUCAGCGGCGGACGGGUGAGUAACGCGUGGGAACGUGCCCUCUGGUUCGGAAUAACUCAGGGAAACUUGAGCUAAUACCGGAUACGCCCUUUUGGGGAAAGGCUUGCUGCCGGAGGAUCGGCCCGCGUCUGAUUAGCUAGUUGGUGAGGUAACGGCUCACCAAGGCGACGAUCAGUAGCUGGUCUGAGAGGAUGAUCAGCCACACUGGGACUGAGACACGGCCCAGACUCCUACGGGAGGCAGCAGUGGGGAAUAUUGGACAAUGGGCGCAAGCCUGAUCCAGCCAUGCCGCGUGAGUGAUGAAGGCCCUAGGGUUGUAAAGCUCUUUUAUCCGGGACGAUAAUGACGGUACCGGAGGAAUAAGCCCCGGCUAACUUCGUG